UCGUUGUACGAGUCGUGGAAGCCUUGGGCCCGAAGGAACGCGAUGAGGCCCCGGUAACGAAGCCGCGUCACGCGCGGAUGCUCCGGCGGGCUGGAAAGCUUGCGGGCAGAGUCGUCCGCCGCGCGGGAGCGCUUCUUGCCAGAAUGCGUGUGGGCGGCCCCGCCGACGGAGUCGUCCAACGGGCGGGAGCGCAUCUUGCCAGAAAGCGUGUGGGCAGCCUCGCCGACUGAGACGCGCAUGUUAUCCGCCGGGCCGG
rnacentral:lncRNA from 1 species